UCUGCACUGGGACAGGACACCACUGCACUAUUGGACUACGGCAAGCUGGUGCCGUCCGGUGGAACUUCAUACAGGAACCACUGCCUUACCUGGUGGUGUCACAACGUUGGGUGAACGCACAAAAAGCGCGGAACGAGCUUUUAUAUAGAGCAAAAUAAAUAUUUCCUCAUUGCA
rnacentral:lncRNA from 1 species